AGGCAGUUCAGCAGAGCAAAGGACUAAGGGGCAGACGAUUGCGGGUGAUGUUUCCCGGCAGCCCUUGCGGAAUUGACGUCCAUCCAAGCUCCAUACACUGAUAGGUUUUUAGCUGUUGGAAUAUGGUAUAAGUAUGCCUAUAUUUUGCAGCAAUGACGUCAUUCGUUCCAAUAUUCCAAUCAUUUAUCCAUCCAGCCAGUUCGCUAUCUAUGCUUUUUUGCCCCAAGCCUCCAGCACGUACAACAAUAUAUGCCAACAAGCUCGACUAGCUCGUGAAUCUUCGGCCCUCGCAAGGCAACUGUUAACAGGUCAAAAUUUGCCCAACAAAGAGUGCUAGAGCAAUAUUUCACUCAUGGCAACGUUUGCCGUGCUAAUAAUCUCGUCUUAUUAUCUACUGAAACGUGGUUGAAGCCUUUUUAAAGGAGUCAAGCCCUAGGCUAGAAGGAAAAAAAUUCAGACAGCGCUGAAGCAAGAGUGAGGAGCAAGAUAAAAAAGGAAAAUAAAAUUGAUCUUAUUUUAUAGUGAUACGCGCGCUACUGUUGUCAUCAAUACAAAAUUUAGGAAAGUUAGCCCAUUGAUUUGAUUCUAAAAACUGUCAAGGUGACCAGGUAGAAAUUAAAGAAAGGCUGGUCAUUCAUUUGUUCGCCCUUUAAACAAAAUUAAUUUUGCGGACGAUUUGUUGUUUAUUCUCCCAGCGUUUCUGUGUGUAACACAUGGUCUUUGGGAGAACAAGCAAGCACGACCAUAAAUUCUAGAUGAGUACUACUUUAACUUUUUGUCGCCGGCCAGAGAAGCGAGAAUUUCUGGGGAUAAAACGAGGAAAUACAAAAAAUAUUUUGCGAUUGAUCGUGAUCUUAACUAGGAAAAGAGCUUAAAGACCCUGGAGAAUAUUAGUUCUUGGAUUAGGUGGGCAAAGCAAUGCAAUGCCUGCGGAUCACGUUAAGCAUACUAUAGUAGGACAAAGUGACUGUCAACUUAUAAGAAACAUGCAUUUAUUUUAGAAAACGAGAGCUCGAGCCAGGGGCGUAUCUAGGGGGGUAGCCUAGGGGACCCGAGCCCCCCUUCUAGCAGCCAAAAAUACAGUAAAUGUAUAAGACAUUAUCUAAAA